rnacentral:lncRNA from 1 species
ACUAACACUCUUUUAGGCAGGCACUUAACUAUGUUCAACAGUGCUUAACUGUUGCCCUAAUGCCUUAAGUAUAGUUGCAGCUCUCGCUCUAUCUAUUAGAACCAUUAGCACAAAGCACUACCGAUACCCUUCUCUGUGUUCCAGAUAUCUGUUGGUUUUCUUGAUUUCAUACUCUCGAUUCUCCACGUAACCUUACCUUGAACACCCACUGACGGGGGAAGCCAGAACUGUCUGUUGCUGUGUGUGGUGUAAACGCUGCCUUACACAGCAAAAAUCACCCUCUGGAGGUGCGAUUGAAUUGUGGGGUCUCGUAGUGGAGACAACCUGGAAUGUGCAGGUGAGGAAACCAAGGCACAUAAAUGUUACGUCAUCUGUCAGAGCUGGGGAGGAACGGAUUUCCUAUUCAAAGCCAGGACUGUCUAAGGGCAGUGGCCAGCCCUCCGGCUGCGGUGUAGAGGCAGUGCCAAGAGGAAGGAGGUUGAUGAAGGAUGAGAUUUGCACAGAGAAGGUUGAAGAAUGGCCAACGCUGCAAGCCUUCAGCUUUGUUUUGUUUGCUGAACGGCGUCUACUCUUGUAGCCUAUGCUGACCUUGAAAAUGCCGCACUGGCCUGGAGUCCUGGCUUGCCCAGAAUUCCAUGUGCAGACCUGAUGGACUUCAGUCUUACAGAGAUCCACCCGAUUCGGCCUCUGAAGUGCUGGGAUUAAAGGUGUGUGCUAUCAUUCCCAGUCCCGAUUAAAAAAAAAAAUAAUAAUGAUGAUGAUGAUAAUAAAAGAUAUAUUUUAAUGUUUUUAUUUGUUUGUUUUUAUGUGAUUUU